UACGUAGGCAGCAAGCGUUGUUCGGAAUUACUGGGCGUAAAGGGCGCGUAGGCGGCCUUCUAAGUCGGGCGUGAAAUCCCUGGGCUCAACCCAGGAACUGCGUCCGAUACUGGAAGGCUUGAAUCCGGGAGAGGGAUGCGGAAUUCCAGGUGUAGCGGUGAAAUGCGUAGAUAUCUGGAGGAACACCGGUGGCGAAGGCGGCAUCCUGGACCGGUAUUGACGCUGAGGCGCGAAAGCCAGGGGAGCAAACGGG
rnacentral:rRNA from 1 species